rnacentral:rRNA from 1 species
AGAGUUGAUCCUGGCUUAGGAUGAACGCUAGCUACAGGCUUAACACAUGCAAGUCGAGGGGCAGCAUUGGAGUAGCAAUACGUCAGACUGGCGACGGCGCACGGGUGAGUAACACGUAUCCAACCUGCCGCUUACUCGGGGACAGCCUUUCGAAAGAAAGAUUAAUACCCGAUGGUAUAAAGAGUUCGCAUGUUCUCUUUAUUAAAGAAUUUCGGUAAGCGAUGGGGAUGCGUUCCAUUAGAUAGUUGGCGGGGUAACGGCCCACCAAGUCUACGAUGGAUAGGGGUUCUGAGAGGAAGGUCCCCCACAUUGGGAACUGAGACACGGUCCAAACUCCUACGGGAGGCAGCAGUGAGGAAUAUUGGUCAAUGGACGAGAGUCUGAACCAGCCAAGUAGCGUGAAGGAUGACUGCCCUAUGGGUUGUAAACUUCUUUUAUAAGGGAAUAAAGUGAGGGACGUGUCCCUUUUUGUAUGUACCUUAUGAAUAAGGAUCGGCUAACUCCGUGCCAGCAGCUGC